rnacentral:rRNA from 1 species
CCUACGGGAGGCAGCAGUGAGGAAUAUUGGUCAAUGGCCGUAAGGCUGAACCAGCCAAGUCGCGUGAAGGAAGAAGGAACUAUGGUUUGUAAACUUCUUUUAUAGGGGAAUAAAGGUAUCCACGUGUGGAUAUUUGCAUGUACCCUAUGAAUAAGCAUCGGCUAACUCCGUGCCAGCAGCCGCGGUAAUACGGAGGAUGCGAGCGUUAUCCGGAUUUAUUGGGUUUAAAGGGUGCGUAGGUUGUUUUGUAAGUCGGAGGUGAAAUCCUGGGGCUUAACCAUGGAAUGGCAGUUAAAACUGGAAGACUUGAGUGUGUUAGAGGUAGGCGGAAUGCGUGGUGUAGCGGUGAAAUGCAUAGAUAUUACGAAGAACUCCGAUUGCGAAGGCAGCCUACUGAGACAUAACUGACGCUGAAGCACGAAAGCGUGGGGAUCAAACAGGAUUAGAUACCCUAGUAGUC